UACGUAGGGGGCGAGCGUUGUCCGAAGUUACUGGGCGUAAAGCGCGCGUAGGCGGUUUCUUAAGUCUGGUGUGAAAGGUUCAGGGCUCAACCCGAACAGUGCACUGGAUACUGGGGAGACUUGAGUAUGGGAGAGGAGAGCGGAAUUCCUGGUGUAGCGGUGAAAUGCGUAGAUAUCAGGAGGAACACCGAUGGCGAAGGCAGCUCUCUGGCCUGUAACUGACGCUGAGGUGCGAAAGCGUGGGGAGCAAACAGG
rnacentral:rRNA from 1 species